GGCCUCGCCUCUUGGCGAAAAAUAACAAGUUCAAAAAGUGUUGGUAAGACAGUUGUCUGAAGACUCUGAUUAGAAAAGCAAAGAA
rnacentral:sRNA from 1 species